UCAGAUUGAACGCUGGCGGCAGGCCUAACACAUGCAAGUCGAGCGGAUGAAGGGAGCUUGCUCCUGGAUUCAGCGGCGGACGGGUGAGUAAUGCCUAGGAAUCUGCCUGGUAGUGGGGGAUAACGUCCGGAAACGGGCGCUAAUACCGCAUACGUCCUGAGGGAGAAAGUGGGGGAUCUUCGGACCUCACGCUAUCAGAUGAGCCUAGGUCGGAUUAGCUAGUUGGUGGGGUAAAGGCCUACCAAGGCGACGAUCCGUAACUGGUCUGAGAGGAUGAUCAGUCACACUGGAACUGAGACACGGUCCAGACUCCUACGGGAGGCAGCAGUGGGGAAUAUUGGACAAUGGGCGAAAGCCUGAUCCAGCCAUGCCGCGUGUGUGAAGAAGGUCUUCGGAUUGUAAAGCACUUUAAGUUGGGAGGAAGGGCAGUAAGUUAAUACCUUGCUGUUUUGACGUUACCAACAGAAUAAGCACCGGCUAACUUCGUGCCAGCAGCCGCGGUAAUACGAAGGGUGCAAGCGUUAAUCGGAAUUACUGGGCGUAAAGCGCGCGUAGGUGGUUCAGCAAGUUGGAUGUGAAAUCCCCGGGCUCAACCUGGGAACUGCAUCCAAAACUACUGAGCUAGAGUACGGUAGAGGGUGGUGGAAUUUCCUGUGUAGCGGUGAAAUGCGUAGAUAUAGGAAGGAACACCAGUGGCGAAGGCGACCACCUGGACUGAUACUGACACUGAGGUGCGAAAGCGUGGGGAGCAAACAGGAUUAGAUACCCUGGUAGUCCACGCCGUAAACGAUGUCGACUAGCCGUUGGGAUCCUUGAGAUCUUAGUGGCGCAGCUAACGCGAUAAGUCGACC
rnacentral:rRNA from 1 species